rnacentral:hammerhead_ribozyme from 1 species
AUCCAACUGACAAGUCCCAAGUAGGACGAAAUGCGCGUUCUGAAU